rnacentral:misc_RNA from 1 species
UAAUAAGUGUUUUAUGGCACUUUUAAAAUCCAUAUCCACCUUGUGUGCAAUGUCAUCUCUGGGGCUGUCGGCUGUCAAAGGUGUGAGGAUCGACCUGGAUAUAUCUACUCAGAACUUUAGUUUGACUCUUUGUCUGAAAAAUAUUAUGAAUACUAAUUCAAAAUA